rnacentral:misc_RNA from 1 species
AUCAAUAAUAAGUAAACAUUCCACGCGAACAAAACAUGGUGGAACUAACAGAUGGCCAUAGUGCAUACCGAAUGAUAAUCACUUGGCUUCAUCUAUACUUCACUCUUUGCCAUCGGCAGCACGGAGGGAGCCUAAUUCAACUGGAGCUUGUGUUCCCACAACUUUGGAUGAUCCAUAAGUGGACACAUCGGCACCCUUCACCUUCUCUUUCUCAAUUUGUUCCUUUAUCCAGAAAUACGUAAUCCUCAACCCAUCCUUCAACUUCAUAUUAGGAGCCCAGCCAAGCUUUUCCUUGAUGAGAGUGUUGUCAGAGUUUCGACCACGCACACCCUCUGGUCCUGGAAUGUGAUGGAUCGGAAGGUUCUUGCCAUCAAAGCUGAGGACUAUCUCUGCCAUCUCAUUCAUGCUUACCAUCUCAUCACUUCCGAUGUUCACAGGCUCUCUGAAGUCGGAUUUUGUUAACCUCAGGACACCUUCAACACACUCAUCAAUGAAGGUGAAAGAUCGAGUUUGCUUUCCAUCUCCCCACAUCUCGAAUUUGUCAGUGGAAGUGAGGGCUUUUCUACAAAAAGCUGCUGGUGCUUUCUCACGUCCGCCUUUCCAUGUUCCAAAUGGGCCAUAAAUGUUAUGGAAACGGCCAAUGCGACAUUCAAUUCCAAAGUCCUUGUUGUAGUGCUUACACAACUCCUCUGUUGCUAGCUUUUCUAAGCCAUAAGCAUCUUGAGGCUCUGCAGGCCAAGCAUCAGACUCCUUUAAGCUCACGUUAGUUUCCAAUUGCUUAAAUUCAGGGUAGAUGCAAGCACUGGAUGCAUAAAAGAACCUCUUAACACUAUUUAUUCUUGAAGCCUCCAUCAUGUUAAAGCUGAUCAUAGUGUUGUUAUACAUGAUCACCGAGUGGUUCGACUGAAUGAAGCCCAUACCUCCCAUAUCAGCAGCGAGAUUGAACACAUGAUCAACUCCUUUUGUGACUUUCAAACAGUUAUCCAUCACCCUGAGAUCAACAAGAUGGAACUCAUGACAAAACAUGUCCUCAGACAUGUGCUCAUUCUUCUUCCA